rnacentral:rRNA from 1 species
GGGUUGUGAGGUUAAGCGACUAAGCGUACACGGUGGAUGCCCUGGCAGUCAGAGGCGAUGAAGGACGUGCUAAUCUGCGAUAAGCGCCGGUAAGGUGAUAUGAACCGUUAUAACCGGCGAUUUCCGAAUGGGGAAACCCAGUGUGACUCGUCACACUAUCAUUAACUGAAUCCAUAGGUUAAUGAGGCGAACCGGGGGAACUGAAACAUCUAAGUACCCCGAGGAAAAGAAAUCAACCGAGAUUCCCCCAGUAGCGGCGAGCGAACGGGGAGGAGCCCAGAGCCUGAAUCAGCAUGUGUGUUAGUGGAAGCGUCUGGAAAGGCGCGCGAUACAGGGUGACAGCCCCGUACACAAAAGCGCAUGUGCUGUGAGCUCGAUGAGUAGGGCGGGACACGUGGUAUCCUGUCUGAAUAUGGGGGGACCAUCCUCCAAGGCUAAAUACUCCUGACUGACCGAUAGUGAACCAGUACCGUGAGGGAAAGGCGAAAAGAACCCCGGCGAGGGGAGUGAAAAAGAACCUGAAACCGUGUACGUACAAGCAGUGGGAGCACCCUUUGGGGUGUGACUGCGUACCUUUUGUAUAAUGGGUCAGCGACUUAUAUUCUGUAGCAAGGUUAACCGAAUAGGGGAGCCGGAGGGAAACCGAGUCUUAAUUGGGCGUUAAGUUGCAGGGUAUAGACCCGAAACCCGGUGAUCUAGCCAUGGGCAGGUUGAAGGUUGGGUAACACUAACUGGAGGACCGAACCGACUAAUGUUGAAAAAUUAGCGGAUGACCUGUGGCUGGGGGUGAAAGGCCAAUCAAACCGGGAGAUAGCUGGUUCUCCCCGAAAGCUAUUUAGGUAGCGCCUCGUGAAUUCAUCUCCGGGGGUAGAGCACUGUUUCGGCUAGGGGGCCAUCCCGGCUUACCAACCCGAUGCAAACUGCGAAUACCGGAGAAUGUUAUCACGGGAGACACACGGCGGGUGCUAACGUCCGUCGUGAAGAGGGAAACAACCCAGACCGCCAGCUAAGGUCCCAAAGUCAUGGUUAAGUGGGAAACGAUGUGGGAAGGCCCAGACAGC